rnacentral:rRNA from 1 species
UGCCUUAGUAACGGCGAGUGAAGCGGCAAAAGCUCAAAUUUGAAAUCUGGUACCUUCGGUGCCCGAGUUGUAAUUUGGAGAGGGCAACUUUGGGGCCGUUCCUUGUCUAUGUUCCUUGGAACAGGACGUCAUAGAGGGUGAGAAUCCCGUGUGGCGAGGAGUGCGGUUCUUUGUAAAGUGCCUUCGAAGAGUCGAGUUGUUUGGGAAUGCAGCUCUAAGUGGGUGGUAAAUUCCAUCUAAAGCUAAAUAUUGGCGAGAGACCGAUAGCGAACAAGUACAGUGAUGGAAAGAUGAAAAGAACUUUGAAAAGAGAGUGAAAAAGUACGUGAAAUUGUUGAAAGGGAAGGGCAUUUGAUCAGACAUGGUGUUUUGUGCCCUCUGCUCCUUGUGGGUAGGGGAAUCUCGCAUUUCACUGGGCCAGCAUCAGUUUUGGUGGCAGGAUAAAUCCAUAGGAAUGUAGCUUGCCUCGGUAAGUAUUAUAGCCUGUGGGAAUACUGCCAGCUGGGACUGAGGACUGCGACGUAAGUCAAGGAUGC